AUCCAGCUGAUGAGUCCCAAAUAGGACGAAAUGUGCAUCUUGGAU
rnacentral:hammerhead_ribozyme from 1 species